CUGACCAGCAGCUCUUGCAUGAGGCACCUACAGGCAGAGGAUUAAUUAGGCUUUCAGUUUCAGUUUCCCAGAAAGGAGGUGGGCUUUUUUUUUUCACCCUGCUUUAAAAGCCCUUGGGCCCUUCCCAACUGGGUGCCAGCCAACUGUGGCUGCCUGGGACACUCCAUCUUAAGUCCCUGUGCCUCUGCUGUGUGUUACUGAGUGCCUAGGCCGUGCCAGCCUGUAUUCAUCUGUACUAUGACCUGAAGAGGCAGAGGCCAUCAUUGUUGGUCUGGUCUCCACCUGGGGAAACUGAGGUUGCACAGUGUCUCUGUGGUGACGAGCAGGGCUUCAUCCAGUGCCUCUGUCCCCACCGAGGGGACUGUGGGAGCCAUGGAGGGUGUGUGAGCAACAGGUGAGACUGGAGCCAGCUGAAAACUGGGAGACCGACCCAGCCAACAAACAAUGUCGGUCUCUGUCCUGGCACCCGCAGGAAACAAGCUCCUACUUCCAGAAAAAGUGCUCCUGGGACUCCAGGAUACCAAGCAUCUGGGUAAGGUACAAUGCUUAACCACUUAACGCAAUCAGGAAGCAACAGCCAUGCAUUCGGGAAAGGAACUUCAGUGUUGUGUGGCUCAGUCUCCAGACCUAACUUUCCCUUUGGUACAGACGCGGUGGUACAUGCCACCACUUAGGCAGGAGGAUCACUCGAGCCCAGAAGAUCAAGACUAGUGUGAGCAACAAAAUCCUUCCCUGGCACCGGUUCCAAGAGGACCUGGUUCUUAGGCAGCAUCUGUGUCUCUGUUUUGUAAGACACACAGAGUAUCCUUAACCCACUGCAGAUAUUUCCCUGGGUCCAUGGUCAAUCAACACCACCUUUCAGUCUCCAGCCUCUUAACCAGCCCAGGGCUGAGUGUUGUUCAUAGUAUUAAUAUGUUUCUGGCUGGGCUCAGUGGCUCAUGCCUGUAAUCCCGGCACUAUGGGAGGCUGAGGCAGGCGGAGUUCAAGACCAGCCUGGCCAACAUAGUAAAACCCCGUCUCUACUAAAAAUACAAAAAUGAGCCGGGUGUGGUGGUGCGUGUCUAUAAUCCCAGCUACUCGGGAGGCUGAGGCAGGAGAAUUGCUUGAACCUGGGAGGUGGAGGCUACAGUGAGCUGAGAUCAUGCCACUGCACUCCAGCCUGGGCAAGAAAGUGAGACUCCAUCUCAAAACAAAGAAACAAACAAAGUAUUAAUAUGUUCCCCUUGAUCAGUGGGGUGGUUCACCCUUGUAAUCCCAGCACUUUGGGAGGCAGAGGCUGGAGGAUCGCUUGAGUCCAGGAGUUCGAGACCAGCCUGGGUGAACUAGCAAAACCCUGCCUGUACUAAAAAUACAAAAAUUAACUGGGCAUGGUGGUGCGAGCCUGUAAUCCCAGUGGAGGCUGAGGCAGGAGAAUCCUUUUGUAAUGCCUAACCUUGUUUUUUUACUAACCCUAUUUUAACCUUGUUUUUACUAACCCUAUUU
rnacentral:lncRNA from 1 species